rnacentral:misc_RNA from 1 species
GCCGGCCUCAAAAGGGAUCCCAACGAGGGAGAUUAAUAGCUAGCAGUGAAUCAUGAGUACCAUGAGCGUGGAGUCCAAUCUGAACCCAAAUGCCCCCCUCUUUAUCCCAGCUGCAUACCAGCAGGUAGAGGACUUCUCCCCAGAAUGGUGGGAACUUGUUAAGACCACCGGUUGGUUCCGUGACCACUGGUUCCGCCAGCACCAGGAGCAGGAAACAUUCGACGGUAGUGAUGAUGCUGAAAAGGAUGUCGUGAGCCUGCUGCCAGACUCCUCUGAUCUCUUUGAUGAUUUCUCCGAAUCAGAGCUAGCUGAUGAAGCUGUAUUCGGAUCAGCUCCUGCUACCAAUGGAUUGAAGGGACCUGGCUUGGAGAGUGAUGCAGAGGCAGUGAUGAAGAGCCUCACCUCACCAAGGAAUGGAGGUGUGAAGCUUAUGGUGGAGCCAGCUAAGUAUUCAGAGAAGCCAGGGCGCUACGCCAACCCGAACUUCAGCCCCAGGCGCAUCAUCCAGCAGCCCCGCUAAAUGGUGCAACUGAAGUAUGAUCAAGAUUGAUCGUGAAUGUCCUGCUGUGUUGUUUUGUAUAGUCCUAAGUUGUAGUAGGUCUUUGUGUUCUAGUUAGCUUCAGCUCCAGUGUUGUUUUAUGUUCAUCAGCACUCUUUCCCAGUGUUGUGUUAUGUUCAUCAGCACUCUUCCCCGAAGAGAGGAAACAAAAACAAAUCAAUGUAAAGAGUCUUUCAAGCAGGCUUGUUUGCCAAAUCAAAAUCAG